rnacentral:lncRNA from 1 species
AAACUCCUUUGAAUUAAAGCUUUUGGUAAUAAUCUGGAUAAAAACACAACUCAUGAAAGACAAGGGCAUUAGUGAAUAACAAUAAGCUUUAAGAUAUUUUCUCCCCCUUUUUGAUCAUAAUUAAAAAGUUGUGUUUCAUGUUCUCCCCCUAAGAUAAUACUCCCCCUUAAUAAAAGCAUGUAUGCAUAUGAGCCAAAUAUAU